rnacentral:rRNA from 1 species
UACGUAGGCGGAAUAAUAAGUCAGUGGUGAAAUCCUGCGGCUCAACCGUAGAACUGCCAUUGAUACUGUUAUUCUUGAAUGUAGUUGAGGUAGGCGGAAUGUGUAAUGUAGCGGUGAAAUGCUUAGAUAUUACACAGAACACCGAUUGCGAAGGCAGCUUACUAAACUAUGAUUGACGCUGAUGUACGAAAGCGUGGGGAGCGAACAGGAUUAGAUACCCUGGUAGUCC